GAUGAACGCUGGCGGCGUGCUUAACACAUGCAAGUCGAACGAAGCGAUUUAACGGAAGUUUUCGGAUGGAAGAUAAAUUGACUGAGUGGCGGACGGGUGAGUAACGCGUGGGUAACCUGCCUCAUACAGGGGGAUAACAGUUAGAAAUGACUGCUAAUACCGCAUAAGCGCACAGUACUGCAUGGUACAGUGUGAAAAAACUCCGGUGGUAUGAGAUGGACCCGCGUCUGAUUAGCUAGUUGGUGGGGUAACGGCCUACCAAGGCGACGAUCAGUAGCCGACCUGAGAGGGUGACCGGCACAUUGGGACUGAGACACGGCCCAAAACUCCUACGGGAGCAGCAGUGGGGAAUAUUGCACAAUGGCGAAAGCCUGAUGCAGCGACGCCGCGUGAGCGAAGAAGUAUUUCGGUAUGUAAAGCUCUAUCAGCAGGAGAAAAAUGACGGUACCUGACUAAGAAGCA
rnacentral:rRNA from 1 species